CGCUGGCGGCGUGCCUAAUACAUGCAAGUCGAGCGAACAGAUAAGGAGCUUGCUCCUUUGACGUUAGCGGCGGACGGGUGAGUAACACGUGGGUAACCUACCUAUAAGACUGGGAUAACUUCGGGAAACCGGAGCUAAUACCGGAUAAUAUUUCGAACCGCAUGGUUCGAUAGUGAAAGAUGGUUUUGCUAUCACUUAUAGAUGGACCCGCGCCGUAUUAGCUAGUUGGUAAGGUAACGGCUUACCAAGGCGACGAUACGUAGCCGACCUGAGAGGGUGAUCGGCCACACUGGAACUGAGACACGGUCCAGACUCCUACGGGAGGCAGCAGUAGGGAAUCUUCCGCAAUGGGCGAAAGCCUGACGGAGCAACGCCGCGUGAGUGAUGAAGGUCUUCGGAUCGUAAAACUCUGUUAUUAGGGAAGAACAUACGUGUAAGUAACUAUGCACGUCUUGACGGUACCUAAUCAGAAAGCCACGGCUAACUACGUGCCAGCAGCCGCGGUAAUACGUAGGUGGCAAGCGUUAUCCGGAAUUAUUGGGCGUAAAGCGCGCGUAGGCGGUUUUUUAAGUCUGAUGUGAAAGCCCACGGCUCAACCGUGGAGGGUCAUUGGAAACUGGAAAACUUGAGUGCAGAAGAGGAAAGUGGAAUUCCAUGUGUAGCGGUGAAAUGCGCAGAGAUAUGGAGGAACACCAGUGGCGAAGGCGACUUUCUGGUCUGUAACUGACGCUGAUGUGCGAAAGCGUGGGGAUCAAACAGGAUUAGAUACCCUGGUAGUCC
rnacentral:rRNA from 1 species